rnacentral:rRNA from 1 species
UACGUAGGGUGCGAGCGUUAUUCGGAAUUACUGGGCGUAAAGCGUGCGCAGGCGGUUUUGUAAGUCAGAUGUGAAAUCCCCGGGCUUAACCUGGGAAUGGCAUUUGGGACUGCAAGGCUCGAGUGCGGCAGAGGAGACUGGAAUUCCUGGUGUAGCAGUGAAAUGCGUAGAUAUCAGGAGGAACACCGGUGGCGAAGGCGGCUCUCUGGACGGUGACUGACGCUGAGACGCGAAAGCGUGGGGAGCAAACAGG